GAGUUAUCAACACUUGUGAGGCCAACAGAGUAAAAAAUGUUAAAGUGUGAAACCGAGGGACUAUGGACUGUUUUGUGUUGAAUUGUGGACUGAUUUUGCUAACCUUUAAUGUGUUUGCUAUUUUUUGUGUUCUUUGUUUAGUAGCUCUUGAUAGGUACAAUGGCGAAUGAAACUGAAAUGCCUAGUUGGGUUAAAUCCAUCAUGGCAAAGCUUGAUGCUAUAGAUAGUCAAAUAAUGGACAGAAUGGAAGAAAGAUUAGAAGGGAUGGAAGACUCU
rnacentral:lncRNA from 1 species